GGAGAGAUGCUAGAGUGGACGAAUAGGCGCGACUGGAAAUCGCGUGUUUCCUGUAAAGGAAACCGUGGGUUCGAAUCCCACUCUCUCCGCCA
rnacentral:tRNA from 1 species